AGUCAGGGGAGAGUAAAGCAAAUCUGUGGAUGAUCACUUUUUUUUUUAAUAAUCUAUGAAUACAAUUUUAGAUUUUACAUACCCUUUCCCACCAUCUCUCCAAUUCCAUCUGGAUUUCCCCCAAGGCUAUAGGGUUUUGAUUAGAUUUAGUUAAAGAAAUGGGGCUGUUUAGAUGGUUUUGUGAGUAAAGGCAUUCAGGGCCAAGAAGGCUCAUCUAAGUUCAAUCCCAUGAUUUCAUAGUGAAAGGACAGAACUGACUUUACAAGUUGUCUCUCCCCCUAUACACACACAAUUUAAAAGUUUUAAAGAAAUGUCUAUCUGAAGUUAGGUACCUCUGCCCUUAUCUUGUGUGUGUAUCUAUCAUGGGCAUUUUGUUGCCCAACAGGAAAUACUACUGUAAUUAGACAAUACCCUUUGUUCUUUUGAGGCCUAGUUAUGGCAUCUCUUUUGCAUAAGUAUUUCUGUUUAAUCUUUACUUUUUUUUAAAGUAGGCUGUGGUACAUUUUUAAUAAACAUACUUUGAGGCUUAUUAAAAAUUUCCUCUUAACCUGUUCCUUUAUGAUCCUCUUCUUCUGUAUGUGCAUCUUAUAUUUUGAGACAAUCUAGGAUCAUUUAUUGAUAGACAACACUGUGUAUCUCAGAAAUAAGAUAAGCUAGUGUGUCAGUCUUAGUGCUGCCUCACAUAUGUAUGAGAAAGUUCUUGUUGGAUACUGAAGAAGAGGGCUGUGAGUUCCAGAUAUUAGGUGCCUGACUUUUUCUCUCUGUAGCUCAACAGAGCAUUUCAAGAGGAAGACUCUCCAGCUACUUUUUACUGUAUCAGCAUGCAGUGGUUUAGAGAAUGGGAGAGUUUUGUAAAGGGUAAGGAUGGAGAUCCUCCAGGUCCAAUAGACAACACUAAAAUUGCAGUCACUAAGUGUGGUAAUGUGAUGCUCAAGCAAGGAGCAGAUUCUGGUCAAAUUUCAGAAGAAACAUGGAAUUUCCUGCAAUCUAUAUAUGGUGGGGGACCUGAAGUUAUCCUCCGACCUCCAGUUGUUCAUGUUGACCCUGAUGCACUACAAGCAGAGGAAAAGAUUGAAGUAGAAACUCGCUCUUUGUAGUUGUGAGGGCAGAGCUCUAAUGGAGUCAUCCUCACUUGAUGCGCACACAUUCAAAACAUUCCUCAAAGCAUGUUGACUCUCUUGAUUUCCAUCUUUUUCCUCAUUUAUUCCUUUGUACUGGGCAUUAUGGAAGGGUAUGUUAAAU
rnacentral:lncRNA from 1 species